GCAGGCUCCACCUCCUGGGCUCAAGUGUUCCUCCUGCCUCAGCCUCCCAAGUAGGUGGUACUGAAUAUAAGUUCAGCUAAUUGUAGAAUUCUAGGCUAACAGUUAACUUCUGUCAGCCCUUUGGAAAUAUACUAACGUCUUCAGACUUUCAUUGUUGCUAUUGAAAAGUGUAUUCAUUUUUUUAUGGCUGUCACAAAUUAUCAUGACUUUACUGGAUUAAAAGAGCACAAAUUUAUUGUUUCAAAGUUCUGUAGGUCAAAAGUCAGGAAUGGAUCUCACUGGGCUAAAAUCAAGGUGUUGGUCAGCUGGCUUUAUUCCUUUCUGAGGGCUCUUGAGUUUGUUUCCUUGCUCAUGCAGAUGUUGGAAGAAUUCAGUUCCAUGCAGUUAAAGGACUGAGGGUCUUGCUCUGUCACCCAGGCUGGAGUGCAGUUGCUCUAUCAUGACUCACUGCAGCCUCAAAUGCUUGGACUCGAGCAAUCCUUCAGGCUAAAAGGUUUAUGAAGACAUCUGUCUUGUCCGGCAUCAUAUCCUGGGACCCACAAAGUGACUGAAAUAUAUCUGGUGGUCAAUAUAUAUUUGCAUCUUUCAAUUUAGACCGGCCACAUUUCAAGUGCUCAAUAGCCGCAUGUAGCUAGCGGCUACAAUAUUGAACAGUGCAGCUCUGGAAAUUUAAAAGUGAGUAAGAUAUGAUCCCUAUUCUCAACAUUUCACAAAGGGAAGUCUCAUCAUGUAAACAGAUAAAAUAUAGUACAAUUUAUGUGGCAAGGUAAUAUUUUGAGAUAAAAAUCAAAGAUUUUCUUUCCCGGGAGUUUCUUCUUGCUCUUUGUUCUUCCACCUAUUGAGUCCUUGCUACUUCUUAUUAAGGGCGAAAAGGAUAAAGAUGAGAACAAAGUCUAUAUAUAAAUAUAUGUAUAGUUUUUUGAGAACUGCCUGCUGGGUGCAGUGGCUCACAUCUGUAAUCCCAGCACUUCGGGAGGCCGAGGCGGGUGGAUCACGAGGUCAGGAGUUCGAGACCAGCCUGGCCAACAUGGUGAAACCCCGUAUAACUGUAUGUAUAUAAUUGUAUGUAUCUAUAUGUUUGUGUUUACAAGUACAUAUAUAUAUAUGUAAUUAUUUUUAAUUCACAGAAGAGAGUAUGGUCUUGAAAUUCUGGCUUUCAGAGUUAGCUUUUCUGAGAGGAAAAGGGCUUUUUGAACCAAAAGCUAAAAACCAGAAGGAUUCAGAGCAUGGGUUGUUUUUUUUUAUUAUUUUAUUUUGUUUACCAUAAAUGACAGAGCAGAGAGUAAUACAAAAUAUUCUAAGAACAUUUUUCUCAUUUCAAGACAAAUGAAAGUUCUUUCUUCCAGCUGGUGGGAAAAGAAGUAUCAGAAGUGAUGUGACUAGAGCUCUUGGGGGAGCUUGGGAAAGGGCUCCCUUCACUACCCCCACUCCCUUGAGAGCCCUGGGAGUCAAGAGGGGGCAGAACAAUGGAAAUCUCGGAAUAAGAACAAUUGGAGGGACUCACAGAGCAGACAGGACCCUGGCCUGACUCUGGUGGGUGCAGUCCCUCAUCCAGCUUCAUCACCUGAGUGGAGAGUGGCAAUGGCUGGAGAAGUCUCUGGAGCAGGUGAGGACCACUACCCAAGACCCUGCAUUCAGCUUGGAGGAUGAACAUGCUCAAAAAUUUCCUGUGUGGCAGGAGGAACACAGACAUGGCCUGGAAAGGAAUUUCUUCAGCAUGGAAAAGACAUAGAGUGGCCUGUGCAGACACUACCUGAGUGUGAAAGGCACAGGAGACUG
rnacentral:lncRNA from 1 species